rnacentral:rRNA from 1 species
GACGUAGGGCGCGAGCGUUGUCCGGAUUUAUUGGGCGUAAAGAGCGUGUAGGCGGCUUGGCAAGUCUGGUGUGAAAUCUUGCGGCUCAACCGCAAGCGGUCACUGGAAACUGCCUCGCUAGAGUCCGGAAGAGGAGAGUGGAAUUCCUGGUGUAGCGGUGGAAUGCGCAGAUAUCAGGAAGAACACCCGUGGCGAAGGCGGCUCUCUGGGACGGUACUGACGCUGAGACGCGAAAGCGUGGGGAGCGAACAGG